rnacentral:rRNA from 1 species
UUUCGCCCGCCGGCGACCGGCGCACGGGUGAGUAACACGUAUGCAACCUGGCCGCCACAGGGGGAUAACCCGCGGAAACGCGGCCUAAUACCCCGUGACGCCACCGGAGGGCAUCCUCCGGUGGCCAAAGGAGCGAUCCGGUGGCGGAUGGGCAUGCGGCGCAUUAGGUAGUUGGUGGGGCAACGGCCCACCAAGCCGACGAUGCGUAGGGGUUCUGAGAGGAAGGUCCCCCACAUUGGAACUGAGACACGGUCCAAACUCCUACGGGAGGCAGCAG